UAGGGAAUCUUCGGCAAUGGACGGAAGUCUGACCGAGCAACGCCGCGUGAGUGAAGAAGGUUUUCGGAUCGUAAAGCUCUGUUGUAAGAGAAGAACGAGUGUGAGAGUGGAAAGUUCACACUGUGACGGUAUCUUACCAGAAAGGGACGGCUAACUACGUGCCAGCAGCCGCGGUAAUACGUAGGUCCCGAGCGUUGUCCGGAUUUAUUGGGCGUAAAGCGAGCGCAGGCGGUUAGAUAAGUCUGAAGUUAAAGGCUGUGGCUUAACCAUAGUACGCUUUGGAAACUGUUUAACUUGAGUGCAAGAGGGGAGAGUGGAAUUCCAUGUGUAGCGGUGAAAUGCGUAGAUAUAUGGAGGAACACCGGUGGCGAAAGCGGCUCUCUGGCUUGUAACUGACGCUGAGGCUCGAAAGCGUGGGGAGCAAACAGGAUUAGAUACCCUGGUAGUCCACGCCGUACGAUGAGUGCUAGGUGUUAGACCCUUUCCGGGGUUUAGUGCCGCAGCUAACGCAUUAAGCACUCCGCCUGGGGAGUACGACCGCAAGGUU
rnacentral:rRNA from 1 species